GUAGGUGGCAAGCGUUGUCCGGAAUUAUUGGGCGUAAAGCGCGCGCAGGCGGUUCUUUAAGUCUGAUGUGAAAGCCCACGGCUCAACCGUGGAGGGUCAUUGGAAACUGGAGAACCUGAGUACAGAAGAGGAAAGCGGAAUUCCACGUGUAGCGGUGAAAUGCGUAGAGAUGUGGAGGAACACCAGUGGCGAAGGCGGCUUUCUGGUCUGUAACUGACGCUGAGGCGCGAAAGCGUGGGGGAGCAAACAGGAUUAGAUACCCUGGUAGUCCACGCCGUAAACGAUGAGUGCUAAGUGUUAGGGGGUUUCCGCCCCUUAGUGCUGCAGUUAACGCAUUAAGCACUCCGCCUGGGAGUACGGCCGCAAGGCUG
rnacentral:rRNA from 1 species